AUUCAGUGAAUCAUCGAAUCUUUGAACGCACAUUGCGCCCUUUGGUAUUCCGAAGGGCAUGCCUAUUCGAGCGUCAUUA
rnacentral:rRNA from 1 species